rnacentral:pre_miRNA from 1 species
UUUCUACUCCCUCCGUCCGAAAAUACUUGUCAUCAAAAUGGAUAAAAAGAGAUGUAUCUAAAACUAAAAUACGUCUAGAUACAUUUCCUUUUAUCCAUUUUGAUGACAAGUAUUUCCGAACGGAGGGAGUAUUUG